UACGGAGGGUGCAAGCGUUAUCCGGAUUCACUGGGUUUAAAGGGAGCGUAGGUGGGCUUGUAAGUCAGUGGUGAAAUCUCCGUGCUUAACACGGAAACUGCCAUUGAUACUAUAGGUCUUUGAAUAUUCUAGGAGGUUAGCGGAAGUAUGUCAUGUAGCGGUGAAAAUGCUUAGAUAUGACAUAGAACACCGAUUGCGAAGGCAGCUAACUACAGGGUUAUUGACACUGAGGCUCGAAAGCGUGGGGAUCAAACAGG
rnacentral:rRNA from 1 species